rnacentral:RNase_P_RNA from 1 species
UGAGGCGGUCGGGCGGUCGCUGUAAAGAGUGUUCGCACUUUUUGCAGAGGAAAGUCCGGGCUUCAUAGAGCAACGAUGCCGGAUAACGUCCGGGCGGGGCGACCCGACGGAAAGCGCCACAGAAAUUACACAACGGAAACGGUAUCGGGUGUCGAGCGUUGGGCAUUUGAGAAAACUCGAAUGUCGAAUGCUCGACACCCGCUAUGCCCCGAAAUGGUGAAAUGGUGCGGUAAGAGCGCACCGGCGAUGUGGAGACACGUCGGCCAGGCAAGCCCCAUUGGAAGCAAGGCUCGACAGGAGAGGUUAACGUGGCUCGCCGACUCUCCGGGUGAACCGCACGAGGAGCCGGGCAAUCGGCUUCCCAGAGAGAUGACCGCACAAACACAGAACCCGGCUUAUAGACCUCCUCACUCC